GAUGAACGCUAGCGGCAGGCUUAAUACAUGCAAGUCGUGGGGCAGCAUGAAUGUAGCAAUACAUUUGAUGGCGACCGGCAAACGGGUGCGGAACACGUACACAACCUUCCUAUAAGUGGGGAAUAGCCCAGAGAAAUUUGGAUUAAUACCCCGUAACAUAACGAUGUGGCAUCACAUUGUUAUUAUAGCUUCGGCGCUUAUUGAUGGGUGUGCGGCUGAUUAGAUAGUUGGCGGGGUAACGGCCCACCAAGUCUACGAUCAGUAGCUGAUGUGAGAGCAUGAUCAGCCACACGGGCACUGAGACACGGGCCCGACUCCUACGGGAGGCAGCAGUAAGGAAUAUUGGUCAAUGGACGCAAGUCUGAACCAGCCAUGCCGCGUGAAGGAUUAAGGUCCUCUGGAUUGUAAACUUCUUUUAUCUGGGACGAAAAAAGGCUUUUCUAAGUCACUUGACGGUACCAGAUGAAUAAGCACCGGCUAACUCCGUGCCAGCCGCCGCCGUAACAC
rnacentral:rRNA from 1 species